rnacentral:lncRNA from 1 species
UAGCUCGGUGGCUCGCCGGAGAAGGGACCCAAGUACUUGACUCGGUCAGAUCCGUACCAUGGGCUGCCUGAUGGACCCUUAGGCUUGGCAACAGUCUUCCUCAUGGUCACACGGCCGGUUCCGAGGACAUCUGAUGCUGCGGGCUUCACAGCCUUUCCAGCGAAGGCAGGGGAGGACAGAGCCAUGGUUGAGGAAGCCAUUAGAAUCUUUCUUCGUUCUUCUUUUUCUUUUCU